rnacentral:rRNA from 1 species
AGAGUUUGAUCAUGGCUCAGGACGAACGCUGGCGGCGUGCUUAACACAUGCAAGUCGCACGGGGUAGCAAUACCCAGUGGCGAACGGGUGCGUAACACGUGAAGAAUUUGUCCAACGGCGGGGGAUAGCCGGCCCAACGGCCGGGUAAUACCGCGUACGACCUUCGGGGGGCAUCCCCUGGAGGUGAAAGCCGUAAGGCGCCGAUGGAGAACUUCGCGGCCUAUCAGCUAGUUGGUGAGGUCAUGGCUCACCAGGGCGACGACGGGUAGCUGGUCCGAGAGGAUGACCAGCCACAUUGGGACUGAGACACGGCCCAGACUCCUACGGGAGGCAGCAGUGGGGAAUCUUGCGCAAUGGGCGAAAGCCUGACGCAGCGACGCCGCGUGUGGGAUGACGGCCUUCGGGUUGUAAACCACUGUCGGGAGGGACGAAAUCAAUGACGGUACCUCCAAAGAGA